UUAAUUUUAAUUUCUAAGCAUUUUUGUUUACACCAUGGAAGAUACAAAAUUAUAGGCUUUGUACAUGGUCAAUGCUGUUAUAAUCUCUACUAAAUCAUACAAUUUUAAAGUUUGCACUGUAAAAAAUGUUUCAUUACUUGGAUGAAAGUAAUGCAGCUAUCAUUAUUAUUCAGACAUCUUUCUUCUGGAGUAUAGACAGAUUCAGUGUUGGUUUGAUUUGAGUUUCCCCAGAUCUCUACAAAAUAUUUCACACAUUUAAUCCAUGAAUCUGAAAAUGUGUUUGAGUGAAAGAGAGACUAGAGAUGAACUAUCUGUUCAACAGUGAGAGUUUCUCUGACAGGAGGAAAAUCUUUAGACUCAAAUCAGCAAAGAAACACUGAAGAACCAGAACUGAACCAGACACCAAAUCCAGGAAUCAGAGGUUCAGUGAAUGUGGUGUUGAAGGUGUGGAGGAGGAUCAGUGAGUCAGAGGAGACUCUGUAGAAGGACAGAAUGCCAGCAGGACAGUCCACAUACACUGAUACUCUGUUAGAGACGGAGGAGGAGAGAUGAGUUUCUAUGUUAUUGUGCCAGACAGAGUAACCAUCAUCAGAGCAGCUCAGACUCCAGGAAUGAUCAUUAUAUCCAAACCAACAGUCUAUACUGUUUCCUUUCCUCUUGAUUCUUCUGUAACUCACUGAUAU